rnacentral:rRNA from 1 species
CGGUAGUGGGCGAACCUGCCCUGUACUGGGGAAGAAUCAUUGGAAACGAAUGACUAAUACCGCCAUGUGGUCCUCGGAAGGCAUCUUCUGAGGAAGAAAGGAUUUAUUCGGUACAGGAUGGGCCCGCAUCUGAUUAGCUAGUUGGUGAGAUAACAGCCCACCAAGGCGACGAUCAGUAGCCGACCUGAGAGGGUGAUCGGCCACAUUGGGACUGAGACACGGCCCAA